rnacentral:rRNA from 1 species
AUUGAACGCUGGCGGCAGGCCUAACACAUGCAAGUCGAGCGGUUGACGGGAGCUUGCUCCCUGAUUCAGCGGCGGACGGGUGAGUAAUGCCUAGGAAUCUGCCUAUUAGUGGGGGACAACGUUUCGAAGGGAACGCUAAUACCGCAUACGUCCUACGGGAGAAAGCAGGGGACCUUCGGGCCUUGCGCUAAUAGAUGAGCCUAGGUCGGAUUAGCUUGUUGGUGAGGUAAUGGCUCACCAAGGCGACGAUCCGUAACUGGUCUGAGAGGAUGAUCAGUCACACUGGAACUGAGACACGGUCCAGACUCCUACGGGAGGCAGCAGUGGGGAAUAUUGGACAAUGGGCGAAAGCCUGAUCCAGCCAUGCCGCGUGUGUGAAGAAGGUCUUCGGAUUGUAAAGCACUUUAAGUUGGGAGGAAGGGUUGUAGAUUAAUACUCUGCAAUUUUGACGUUACCGACAGAAUAAGCACCGGCUAACUCUGUGCCAGCCGCCGCGGUAAUAC